CUUUCAAAAGACGUGCCUAUGGACUUGGACUUCAGUCCAAACCCCGAUCCUGGGCCGCAGGACUUUUAGUGCCAAGAAAGUUCCAGGCAGACCAAAUGAGUCUGUCAUCCCACCUGGAGCCAGCCUCCAUGCAUGACACUGACAGUGCUCCAGUGCCUGAUUGAGUUCUGCCAACAGAGGGACUGAGCAGAGAUGGGAAGAAGGGAGAGGAGGAGACCAGGGCAUCUAUUUGCUUGGCUCCUGCCUUGAGAGGUUCCCAUCAGCCGGCCAUGCAUCUCUACAGAAGACUACAGGUGUUCCCAGAGUGCCUAACUCUAUGUGACUUUCUCUGUCCAGAGUCCUGAAACUGCUCCCAUCCAGAUCUGCAUCCUCCCAGGCUAUAAAGGGUAACAGGUUUGCUAC